rnacentral:piRNA from 1 species
UGGCUUCUCAUUCUCUAAAGCAGGGG